CCCUAUCUUUUCUGUGUCUUAAAAGUCAAAAGCAUGAAGCUACUUGAGGAUUUGCUCGUGACUGGCUGAGCCCAGCAGAAAGGCUCUCUUGCGCAUUAGAGAAGAACUAAGACACGGGAGCAGCCCCUCAAGGGAGAAGAUUUGGAAUCAUUAAAAUUGCAUCAAGAGUGAGGUGGCAGGAUGGAGAACAUGCUGGAAUGUGCAUUCAUGGUCUUGUGGCUUCAGCUUGGAUGGCUGCGUGGAGAAGACCGAGUGGAGCAGAGUCCUCAGACCCUGAGAACCCAGGAGGGGGGCAGUCUCAGUCUCAACUGCAGCCACAUCGUCAGCGGUUUCAGAGGGCUACAGUGGUAUAGACAAGACCCCGGGAAGGGCCCUGAACUCCUCUUCCUUCUUUACUCAGCUGGGGAUGAAAAGCAGAAAGAAAGACUGAGAGCCACCUUGUUAAAGAAGGGAAGUUCUCUGCACAUCGAAGUCCCCAAACCCGAAGACUCAGCCACUUACCUCUGCGCUGUGCAGACACAGUGCUCCCCAGGCACCUGCAGACCGUACCCAAGCCCUGAGCCUGCGGCUCUAGAAUAAGGGCGUCUCUGCUGUUUUCGUGCCUCCCGAGCACCCAGGGCCUCUUCCCAAGUGGUCCUAUGGAGAACGAACUCUUGUGACGCAGCCAGACAGCAGAGAUUACUGGGCAUUCUGUCCAGGAUCCUAGACAGUCC